AGGAAAUUAGGUUAACAAGACCGGGGGCCUUCAAAGCCCCAAGCAAAUACCAUCACUAUUUAUUUCCUG
ensembl:Mt_tRNA